UCGCCGCACGCCUCCCGCGGGCCGCCGUACUUCUCAUUUGAUUUCCCGCGGAGUUUUCGCGCGGCGAAUCGCACCGCGCUGCUUCACACGACCCGCCGAUCCGUGCCGGUCCCCCGAGUUUCGACGUCUCCUCGCACAUUUUCGCACCUCCCACUUCUUUUUCACUCAUCGUUUUGGCUGGUGGACCACAGGGAAACGUCGACGCGCGGAUGGACUUGGACGAGAGCAAUGCACCCCGCAUGGAAAAAGCGCAGCCUCUACUGCGAGCGGUAUCGACAGCGUACGAAGACAUGUAAC